rnacentral:snoRNA from 1 species
UAACUACAAAACCAGUAUCAUUGGCUGUCCCAAUCUCGCCAACAUUGGGACGGUCUCUCUAAGCUGGGAGAUUGGCUUUGAACGGGUUAAGUUCAGCUGGGCGCAUUUCUUCUGUGCCACCCGGCAUUACUGUUGUUCAUACAUAU